UACGGAGGGUGCGAGCGUUGUCCGGAAUUAUUGGGCGUAAAGCGCGCGUAGGCGGUUACUCAAGUCGGAUGUGAAAGCCCUCGGCUUAACUGAGGAAGUGCACCCGAAACUGAGUAGCUAGAGUACUAAAGAGGGUCGCGGAAUUCCCGGUGUAGAGGUGAAAUUCGUAGAUAUCGGGAGGAACACCGGUGGCGAAGGCGGCGACCUGGGUAGAUACUGACGCUGAGGCGCGAAAGCGUGGGGAGCAAACAGG
rnacentral:rRNA from 1 species